rnacentral:rRNA from 1 species
CAGUCGCCACGGUAAUACGGAGGGUGCAAGCGUUAAUCGGAAUUACUGGGCGUAAAGCGUGCGUAGGCGGUUCGUUAAGUCUGUUGUGAAAGCCCCGGGCUCAACCUGGGAAUGGCAAUGGAUACUGGCGAGCUAGAGUGUGUCAGAGGAUGGUGGAAUUCCCGGUGUAGCGGUGAAAUGCGUAGAGAUCGGGAGGAACAUCAGUGGCGAAGGCGGCCAUCUGGGACAACACUGACGCUGAGGCACGAAAGCGUGGGGAGCAAACAGGAUUAGAUACCCCGGUAGUCCCUGUCUCUUAUAA